rnacentral:lncRNA from 1 species
CCCGCCUCGGCCUCCCAAAUGCUGGGAUUACAGGCAUAAACCACCGACUUUUCUUAUUUUUUAAAUGGUAGGGCAGUAUGCACAUAGGUAUUAAUUUUUAAUCAACUUUUUUGAGGGAUAAUUAGAGACAGUAAAAGGGGCCCAUUUUAACUGUUGUCUGAUUUAAAUAUUAACACGGUUCAGGUCAGCACAUUAGUUUGUCUUUAUAUAGAUGUUAGAACAAAGUUUCUCAUGCUGUUUCUGUUUAAGUGAAAAUUUCCCUGAGAUUGCAAAGCAAACCGUUACCACUGUAGCCACUUACUUGUGUGCAUCAAGAUUUUUUUCAGUAUUAUGCAAUUAAGUUAAAAUAGAGACAUAGGUGUUGAGGUAAAUGUUAAGACUAUACCUUGCCG